rnacentral:tRNA from 1 species
AAUUCAGUUACGUUGGUUUUGCAUUCCAGAAUUAGAGCCGGUUAUUGGCUAUGAAUUA